rnacentral:lncRNA from 1 species
UAAGUAGAACCAACAUCGCUUAACAACUUAUCAUGCGGCGAUCAAAUGAACGCUAAAUUGGGAGUCAUGUGAAUGAUUCUAUUAAUUUUGGUAGUUUACCCGUUUGUUGUUAUGAGCGUCACUAGUUCAUGCACUUCUCUUUGUGGUAACAGCACCACCCACUGGACAUAAACUGAAACACAUAUCACCAAUGGAUGGUAUUUAUUCAGGAAAAACAAGAGGAAACCUUACUGAACUUCCAUACUUGAUUACAUGAAUAUCAAUUUCCAUACUGAACUACUCUCUAAAGUAAAAUAACUAGAAGUCAUGUCAUACACAUUAGUUUUCAAUAACUAGCAGAUAUAAGAUGUUCAGCACAAACAACAAGCUACUUGCACCAACAAUGCACUAAGCUGGAAUAAGGUAAUUGAUGAAAGCUUCCACGUUAGGAGCAAAAGUUCUCAUGAUGUCGUGUGCGGCCAUUUCAUCGUCCUCAAAUUGGUACGCCGGGGCACAGGUCACUCCAACGAAGGAAUAGUGCAGGUCAGGGUCCCGUCCGGGUGUCUUGACAGAAACACUGCCGUCAUCAGUGAAGGACUCAAUGUCGUGGGUCAGGAGGGCGCCAAACCACACAUUCGGAGGGACCGUGUACUGCGUCUCUGCCCUUUCCGUAGAUCGGGACCGACUACUAUCAUCUUGACUUCCUCAUCAUCAUCCACCUCAAAUACCUGAAAUGGGUAUUAUUGGAUAGAUGGGCAGUAUGCUUACAGAAUGCCCCAAGCACGAUGGCGGCCUCGGGGUCUGCUCUCUCGAGGAGCAAAAACGCGGCCUCCUCCUCAAGCUCCUCCAUCGGGUACACCAACCGCAACAAGAGUAAAUUGCACAAAACUACCAGUUUGAAGGCUAGGUUUGCGAAAAACACUACAAUACAUUUUUUUACAAAAAAACACUGUAUCUACUGUAAUCUUUUUGCAAAUAACACUGAUCGGCGGAUUUGUGUCUGUUGAGUAUGUUUAUGACAAAUGGGGCCCGUCAGUCAGACUGACGUGGCACCGCUUAACACCUCGCAUGUAACGGCGAUGUUUGGGACGUUAUCCUCUUGUGUGGAGCCCUGUGGGGUCCACCUGUCACUGAAACAAAAAAUAAAAAAAUCUGGCAGUUCUCGCCUUAUACCAGCUCGCUGCCGCCCGUCCUGCCCCCGUGGUCAACGGCGCAUGCCCGGAGGCCCGCGCCCGACGCCACCACGCGCUGAUGAGCCGUAUUGCACAACCCCGUCGAUCUGACAAGGGGAGGGAGCAGUGGGCUGGCCGCCGACGUUGUUGCUUCGUCUCGUGCAUCUUGACCGCGACCUCCUCCGAACCAGAGCCACCGUGGUGCUCGAGCAGCGAGUCAUCACCUCCUUCCUCAGCCAUGGUGACCACCCUGCUCACUGGCUACUGCAGCUCCUACGUCGAUGGCGGCUCGAGCGUAGAGGCAGAGGCACCAGCUGGAUUGGAGCGGGAGAAUAGAUCUGAGUGUGGAAGGCGCCGACGACUCGGUUGUCGUCGCCCGUCCCGACCCCAGCCAAGGCAAGGGCCGUCGUUGCUAUUGCCGCAUCGAGGGGGAGGCAUAGGACGCCACCAGUCCCGCCCUCGGCCGAGGGGCGGCCUUCCGCCACGCGCCAAGGACGUCGUGCAUCGCCGGGGUCGCCGACCUCAUCCAAGUCCCACCAACGCUCGCGGCGGAGGAGCACGAAUCCAAGGUACAGAGAGGGCGGCGACUUGAUUCUUGCCGGAUCUGGGUGAGGGCUGGUUAACGGCGGUGAAUUUCGUGGAGUUCAGGGGCAAUGGUGAUGGGCGGCAGCGGCGCUCCUGCAUGUUGCUGGCUCGGGGGGAGAGAGAGAAAUCAGGGUGAAAUGCUGACAAGUGGGCCCCAUGUCCAGUAAAACGGUUCAACUUAACGGUGUUAGAAAUUGGUGCCACAUCAGCCCGACUAGCGGGCUCCAUCUGUCAUAAACGUGCUCAGCCGAGGCAAAUUCGUCGAUCAGUGUUAUUUGCAAAAAAGAUUACCAUGGACAUGGUGUUUUUUGCAAAAAAAUGUAUUGUAGUGUUUUUCGCAAACCUAACCUUCAAACUGGUGGUUUUGUGCAAUUUACUCACCGCAACAAUCUGCUUGGGCGGUUUGGUUCAGGCCGGAAUUUCAGGGGUGUGAGGACAAACAUGCACUUCUUACUACGGUCUGGCGCCGUGUCUCAUAGCUGCUCCCUAUGUACAACGACAGAAAAACCUCCUUCUGGUCGGACUCCUGGAGCAGUGGUGGAUGGACCGCUUCGGCUGAAGUUCCCAGCGCUCUACUCCCAUGCCACUGAUUUUUUUGCCUCGGUCAGCAAGAUCCUUUUUUCCGAGCUUCGUUCCUUCUUUGCACCCAGGCUAUCGUCGAUGGCUGAAGAAGAGUUCAAAUGCCUCGGGCGGCCAACCCCCAGUGGCUAAAUCCUGGUGCUGAAGACUGCCAGGUGCUGAGAUACAGCAUUGACAGGCAGCAAAGCCUUCAUAUCCUCUGUUUACAAGCUGAUCACCUACUCUACGUGUGACGACAUGGCGUUCCGACUGAUGUGCCCAAACUUGCAGCGCCUCAUCGCUGCUGCUUCUGAUGACCUCAAAACUUGGGCCUUCCAUUCAAAAGCUGAUGCUAGGACCUCGAUCAUGUCCUGGGUGUCGUUCCGUUCAUACAUGCUCUACGCGUCUAGCUUACAGAGCUGCCUCUGAACCUCUGUACCCUAUCUCUGUACCUCCCCUUUUUGUGUAGUUCACCUUCAACUUGUUUGCCAUACAUGGUGCUUGAAAAAGUAUUUAUGGAUAGGUUAAAGAUAAGGCUUACCACCAUAGAUUUGAGUGUCUCUGCUAUUCGGUCUGUUUGUUGUAACAUCUCAAAGUUAAGGUAGUGAUGGCUCAUGUGAUUUGAGAGAUAAUUCAAUGUCUCGUUGUUCUGGCGGGGGGCUCGUAGGCACAAGGAUGAUAAACCCUUUGAAUGUUUAUGUGCCUUGUCAUAGCCCCAAACUCACAAGUUAAAGCAAAAUUAUACCACAAAAUUGGCUAAGCAGAGUUCUAUGGCAACACAAGACCUUAAACACUUUAAUGUUCUAGGCUGAUGUCACCAAGUCACAGAUUUUGAUGGUACUCCCUCCGUUUCUUUCUACUCCACGUAGAAGAAUUCUCUGAAGUCAAACUUCAUAAAGUUUGACCAAAUUUGUAAUUAAAAAUAUUAAUAUCUAAUACUAAAGAUAUACAAUAUGAAAAUUAAUUCAAUGAUGCAUCUAACGAUCUUGAUUUAGUAUUGUGAAUGCUGAUAUUUCUUCCAUAAACAUAAAACAUGGUCAAACUUUUACGAAGUUUGACUUCGAACAAAUUGUAUAUGCUGAGUGGAAAGAAACAAAUGGAGUAUAUGUUCGAGACAACAAAAAUUUUGGUUUGGUUAUGACUUGCAUAAUUUAGUUGGCCAACAAAAAGGCAGAAGUAUAAAAGAUAUAGAAACCUAUCAACAUAAUGUUAUUGAUUAAUGCUCAUAAACCAGCACAUCCAUAUGUAAGCCUAAACAAACAAGCACUAACUGACGGAUACUUACAAGAAGAAGAAAAACUAAUGGAUUAAAAUAUUUGUUGGAGAUCCUAGAGAAGAUUUUCAUUUUACUAACCUUCAAGCGUUUAGGAAAUCUCAUAAAGGGUAAGUCACAAAUAAUAUAUGCAAGGUUCAUGUUAUUUCUACAAUUAUACUAAAACAUGGACUGCAUCAUCAAAUAUAAUUAAACAGCAAGUCUGCUUGUAUUUGCUCUAGCAAGAAACCAGGGUUUAGUAAUACGGGGGUUUGCACAUCCUAAACAGUUUGGAUAACCCUGUGUCCCCAUUUUCCCAUCAGGGUGGGAUUGUGCUCACAACAAGCGUGGGUGCCAACGACUAGCAGGCAUCACCACAAGCAGUCACAAAUCGACAGGGCGCCACCUACGCCUAGCAAUGUGUGUGCCAUACCGCAGGUCUGCAAGUAUUUGAGGAGGAGUGUCAGUGGCACACGAGGCCAUAAUAGGCAAUACCUACAAAGCACAUUAAUUUGCGCUUUGAUUUUUGGUUCACUAGUUAUAAUAUCAUGGAACGCAAUCAAGAAUUGUUUUUUUUCGUGUGCUAUCAAGAAUUGUUGAUGAAAUUAGACGGCCUCGGGGCACUGUCUUGUCAACUUUGCCUGAGUUGAUGAUUAGUGCCAUUUCGACAAGUUGUGCUAAAAAGCAAUCGCAUCUGAAGGCUCUAGUUUGCAACUGACCGGUCGCAAAUUUUUGCCCUACUGUAAGGCCGGACGGUCCAAUCCAUCAAGUAACCAGCUUACAUUUUGUCUUGCAACCCUCCUCUCUUAUGCCUCUUCUUCCCAUACUUAUUGAACCAGAAGCCAUACAAGUGCUGCUUCAUCGAAGCCGGCAUGAUAAUUUGGUGUGCAGCCCAACUGCAGCAUGUUGGUCUAAUGAUGGACAAAGAACUGAAGCGCAUAAAAAACGACUGAGCCAACAUGGCAGGAGGAUGAGUCUUGGAGCUAAGCACGAUCGAGUGGAUGUUGCAAUUUGAGUUAUCCAUCAAUAAUUCCUGCUGCCUUCUAUGCCUUUGUCUAUCAAAUUCAAACCUCUUUUGCCUAGAACCACGACAAAUAUUGCACGGAAAUGAAUUCUAAGGCAGAAGCAAACUAAGGAACGAGUUAUUCCUAAGGGAAGCCUUGCUCCUUAUAAAAGAGUUAUGUGGUAGACAUUGGUAUGAAAUUAUUGGUCCUCUGGUAGGUCAAUAGCUAUGAAUCCUUUGGUUAUGAGCUCGCUCCUUUGGUAGGUUAUAAGCCACUAUGAGAGCUUUAUCGAUCUUUUGAAUAAAUUAACUUAGCCUUUUCAACCUAUACAUCUAGAAGUCACCUAGCAAAAAAACAUUGUAUUGUUACAAAGUUCACGAAAAAUAAAGCCUGGCGGCUAACAUUCCAUCAACAAAGAGAAAACGCAUGCUAAGUAGAACCAACAUCGUUUAACAACUUAUCAUGCAGCGAUCAAAUGAACGCUAAAUUGGGAGUCAUGUGACAUGCACUUCUCAUUGUCUGUAAGACCACUACCCACUGGACAUAAACUGAAACAGACAUCAGCAAUGGAUGGUAUUUAUUCAGGAAAAAAGAGAGCAAACCUUACUGAACUUCCAUACUUGAUUACAUGUAUAUCAACUCCCAUACUGAAACUCUCUAAAGUCAAAUAAUUCGAUGUCAUAUCAUACACAUUAGUUUUGAAUAAUUGGCAGGUAUAAGAUGUUCAACACAAACAACAAGCUACUUGCAGCAGCAAUGCGCUAAGCUGGAACAAGGUAAUUGAUGAAAGCUUCCAUGUUAGGAGCCAAAAUUAGCAUGCCAUCGCGCGUGGCCAUUUCGUCGUCCUUGAAUUGGUAAUUGGUAUACGGGGGCAUAGGUCACUCCAACGAAAGAAUAGUGCGGGUCAGGGCCCCGUCCGGGUGUCUUGACAAAAACACUAUAGUCAUCAGUGAAGGACUCGGUGUCGUGGGUAAGGAAGGCGCCAAACCACACAUUCUGAGCGACCGUGUACUGCGAUCUCUGCCCUUUCCGUAAAUCAGGACCGACUACUGUCAUCUUGACUUGCCCAUCAUCAUGCUCCUCAAAUAUGUGAAAUGGGUAGUAUAUUGGAUAAGAUGGGCAACAUCCUUAGAAAAUGAUAAGCAACUUUUGUUUGUAGGUAAGUUUUCAGACUGUGAGGGCUCCCCCGUGUAGUAGUGGCAUGUUUCACCGGGGAUGCAGUGCAGCCGAGUGAUCUCCCCAGCAAGCAGCAGGAAAUAGAUUGCACUACUCACAGCAUGGUCCACCUUAUCUACAUGAAUUAAACACGAAGUAACAAAUUAGGAAACUACUAUUUCUUAACAAAAGCUAUUCUUCAGAAACCUCAGCACAACCAAGUGAUCAACAUAUGAUUUCCUUGGUCCCAACUUUAGAAACUAAAAAAUAUCAGAAGUGAAUAGACACUGCAUUUAUAUUAGCCAAUUACGGAAGUUUUGAGUGCAUAGUGCUUGAAAAGGUAUGUAUGGAUAUGUUCAAGAGAAGGCUUACUACCAUGUGUAUGCGUGUCUUGACUAUUAAAUCUAUUUGUUGUAACAUCUGAAAGUUAACAUAGUGAUUGUUCAUGUGAGCUGAGAGAUAAUUCAGUGUAUCGUUUUCUGACAGGGGGCUCAUAUGCACAAGGAUGCUAAAUCCUUUGGAUAUUGGUGUGUGUUAUCAUAGACUCAAACUCACAAGUUACAAUAGAAUUAUAGCACAAAAUUGGCUAAGCAGAGUCAUACAACAAUAUAAGGCCAUAAAAACUUACUAUGUUAGGCUGGUGUUGCCAAGUGAAAGAUUUUGAUGGCAUAUGUUGGACAUAACCAACAUUUUGGCUUGGUCAUGACAUGCAUGAUUUACUUGGCUGGCAAACAGGCAGCAGUAUAAAAGAUAGAGAAACCUCUCAUCAUAAGUUUAUUGAUUAAUGCUCAUAAAUCAGCAGCUCCGCCUGCAAGGUUCAGAAAACCAGGACUAACUGACGGAUUUUUCAACAAGAAAGAUUAGAUGGAUUACAAUAUUUGUAAGAGAAGUUUUUCAUCAGAAACAUGUAUGGGGUUAGGUAACCCCAUAACCGUAAGUCAUAAUUUGUAAAUGACAUAGGCCAAGUCUGGGCCAUGUUCCUGUUAUUUCUACAAUUUAUAUUACUACAUGGACUGCAUCACCAAAUAUAAAUAGCAAGUCUGCUUGUAUUUUCUUGAGCAAGAAGUUAAGGUUUGGUACUACGGGGGUUUGCACAUCCAAAUGAGUUUGGAUAACCCUGAGUCCCCGGUUGAUCAUUAUUUGAGAAUAUCUUCAGUGUGCAUUACUCGAAAAUAUUGACAUGAAUAAUUUUCUGAAUUAGCAGAUGAACGGCAAUUUUUAAACCGGGGAGUAACUGAGGGCAAGAAGUAUAGAAGUCAUUAGUGGCGAGUUUCAUCUUUCCCCACAACCAUUGGAUGGAAAAGCAUGAAAUCGAAUUAAAUAUUUUUGAAAGGUUCAGAUUUGAGGACUAGCAACAAUUUUCUAGCCAAUAAAAUGCUAAAUUUGUUAUCUUCGGUAGAUUACACAGGUAUAGCACAUAAGAAGGAUGUUGAUGGUAACACUUCACAAGCACCCCAUAAACCAAGCAAUGAUGCAUCACUCACAGAUAUUGGCACAUUUCCUGAUCUAAAUCAAACUAAUUGCCAUCAAUUAAUCUGAAACCCACUUCGCAAAAUGGACUGCGCAGUUGCUUACAAUCAUUGAAACCUCGUGGACUAGUGUUUCUACCAUUCUGGAAGCUCUAGUCCGAGUGGUCUAAUCUAAGAGUGCAAAAGCCCAAUGCGAGAAAAAUCUAGGUGAACGCCUAAAGCUACAUCAAGGCAAGCUUACAGCAGUGUCAGAGCACAGAAAUGGGGAGCACAACAAAGGACCCCAUUUUCCCGUCGGGGCGACAUUGUGCAAGCGACACGCUAGGGCACCCAAGGUUAGCAGGCAUCACCACAAGCAGUCACCAAUCGACAAGGCACCACCUACGGCUCACAAUGCAUGUGUCGUACCGCAAAUCUGCAGAGUAUACGAGGAGGAAUGUGAGAGCACGCAAGGCCAUAAUAGGCAAUAGCUACAAAGCGCAUUCAUCGGUGCUCUAAUUUUUGGUUCACUAGUUACAAUAUCAAGGAGCGCAAUCAAGAAUUGUUGAAGAAAUUAAACGGCCUUGGGGCCCAGUCAUGUAACUUUUCCCUGAGUUGUUGAUUGGUCCUACUGUAAGGCUUUAAAGUGAUGUCCAUCGAGUGGCUAUGCUGCUUGUUUCUCUUGGCCCUCAUCUCCUUCUGCCUCUUCUCCUGGUGCUUAUUGACCCGUAUGAGUGCUGGUUCAUCUGAGAUGGCAUGCAAAUGCGAUGUAUAGCACAAACUGCAGCAUGUUGCUCCACUGUUAAGCACAGGGAGAGUGCUCGUAAUGAACACAUGAGCCGGCAGAGCAAGAGGAGGAGACUCGGAGCUAAGCACAAACGAGUGGGUGUUGUAAUUUGAUUUAUCCAUCAAUAAUUCCCGGUGCCUUCUAUGCCUAUGUCUAUCGAAUUCAUUCCCUUUAGUGCGAAGACGUAACAAAUAAAGCACGAAAUAGGUAAACCAUGGAAUGAGUUAUUCCUUGGAAAGCCUUGCUCCUUAUAAAAUAGCUGUGUGACUAGACAGUGGCUUGAACUCAUCAAUAGCUAAGAAUCAUUUGGUUAUGAGCUUGGUCCUUUGGUAGGUUAGCCACUAUGAGAGCUUUAUCGAUCUUUUAAACAAAUUUGAUUAACAUUUUCAACUUAUACAUCUAGAUGUUGCACAUAGCCAACCAACAAAUUAUAAUUACAAAGUUCAUGGAAAAUAAAGUCCAACAACUUACAUUCCAUCAUCAAAAGGAAACACGGGCUAAGUAGAACCAACAUCACUUAGCAACUUAUCAUGCAGUGAUCAACAUCAACCAUAAUUUGGGAGUCACGUGGAGGAUUCUAUGUAAAUGUAGGUAGUACAUGCUUCUGCAGAGUGGCACUAGUUCAUGUCACCAGUUCAUGCUCUUUAGUUUGAAGUUAAAAAAGCCACCUACUGAACAUAAACUACUCACAAGAAACAAGAGCAAACCAUACUGAACUUCCAUACAUAACUAGAACACCAUGAUUGCAUGAACAAUAACUCCAAUACUAGGGAUCUUCCUCCUGCAGGUUCGUCUGUCCAACCACCUCUCCCCGCUUCCCCUGUUCGCCUUGUUUUACCUGCAUUAUCGGAUGACCAUUUGCUUCAUAUUAUGUCUGAUAUUGGGGUGGCUGCUGAACCGGGUUUGGGCUCUCCCUCUCACCUACUUUCUGUCAUUAGGGCGAAUGAGGCAGCCCAGACUGCCAUUGCUAAAGCCGUGGAGGCUGCGUGUGUCGCUGGCCCUGCUGGGGUUCAGGGUCAGUCUGGGGCGGGUGGUGCGACAGAUGGUUGUGGCCAGACGUCCUCACCCCCCGCUCAAGCUAAGAAAGGUCACUCCAAGUGCUCUAAGGCUUGUUUGGCCCCGCGCAGAUCUAGCCUUCAUAUUAAAAACCUUACCUUCAAAUGAAAGCUCUAUUCUGGAAUAUUCGUGGUUUCGGUGCUAGGGGGCGCCGAGACUAGAUCCAUGACUUAGUUUGUGGAGAACAUAUUGACAUUUUAGGCUUGGUUGAAACAUUUAAGGAAUCCUUCUCUUCUCCUGAACUUUCGGCGGUGGAUGGUAUGGACAGGUUCGACUGGCACUUUCUCCCUGCUUCAGGCCAUUCUGAGGGUAUCUUGAUAGGGUCCAAGCGGGACGUUUUCGACUUCAUUGCCUUUGAUCAUGGUAUUUUUUUGGGCUAGUUAUGUGGUCCAUCACCGUCAGCUGAAUACUCUAUGGGAAUUUAUGGUGGUUUACGGCCCCACGGAUCGUUCGCUUGCCCCUCUUUUCUCGAUGAACUUUCGAAUAAGAUUGAAGCGUGUACUAUUCCUCUUCUUACUGGGGGUGACUUCAAUUUGUUACAGACUCCGGCGGAUAAGAAUAAUUCUAAUUUUUCUUGGACUCUUGCCAAUGCUUUUAAUGAUUUCAUUAGUAGUUGUGCGCUCCGCGAGCUCCCUAGGGUGGGGGGCGCGGUUCACUUGGUCUAACCACCAGUCCUCUCCUGUCCGGUCGGUGCUAGAUAGGGUUUUUGUUUCUGAUAGGUGGGAUUUGCUUUUCCCUCGUGCGCUGCUUAAAGCCAGGCCUGCGGUUGGCUCUAAUCAUGUCCCCCUGGUCGUUGACGCGGGCAUCCUCUCCCUUGUGUCUCCCUCCCGUUUCCGGUUCGAUGCCUCAUGGCUUGUUGUGGAAGGCUUCUGUGAGAUGAUGGUUUCUAAGAUCUCUAAUCUUCUCUCUUCCCCUCGACGUUCCUUUGGCCCCAUGGAUGAUUGGCACAAACUGUCAUAUGAGCUUCAUAAAUUCUUAAGGGGUUGGUCUCGGAAUAGGGCUGCUGAGCUCCGUAGAGACAAAGAUAGUCUUGAAUCUCUGCUUCGGGAUCUGGAUCACUCUGCUGACGUGUCUGGUCUCUCCCCCUCUCAGUGGGCUACUCGCUAUUCCCUGGAAGACGCAUUGAAGUUGUUGCACCAGCAGUCGGAAAUUUACUAGCGUCAGCGAGGAGCCCUUAAUUGGACAUUGAAGGGUGAUGCCAUGACGGCCUAUUUCUUUGCGAUCGCUAAUGGCAGACGAUGUCGAUGCUUCAUUGACAGUUUGAUGAUUGACGGCAUCAGAACCUCGGACCAGUCCCUCAUUAUGAGCCACAUCGUUGGUUUUUAUUCCAAUCUGCUCGGCUCUAAGUCGGACCCUGGUCUUGCCCUCUCUUCCGACUUCUGGGAUGUGGGUUGUAGGAUCUCUCCAGACGAAAACAUGGAACUGUUGGUCCCUUUUUCCUACGAGGAGAUUUGGAUGGUGAUCAGUUCGGCUAACCCGAACGCUGCCUCGGGGCCUGAUGGGUUUUCGAUCCCCUUCUUUAAGAAAUUUUGGCCGCAGUUGCGGAAUCUCAUAUGCAAUAUUAUACAAGGGUUCUAGUUGUGAACGGUGGACAUUUCUCGCCUCAACUACGCUGUCAUUACUCUUAUACCGAAAGUCAAGGGAGCAGACUUGAUUUCACAAUUUAGGCCUAUUGCCCUUAUCAAUAAUUUCGCCAAGUUUCCUGCCAAAGGGCUAGCCACUCGCCUCUCCCCCAUUGCCCAUCGGACCAUUAGCCCGUUUCAGUCGGCUUUUAUUAAGGGCCGUUUCAUUUUGAACGGGGUUCUUUGCCUUCAUGAAAUUGUUCAUGACCUCAAGAUUCGCCAUUCAAAAGCGAUGAUUCUUAAACUAGAUUUUGAGAAGGCUUAUGAUUCCGUGAGUUGGCCUUUUCUGCGUAGGGUUCUAUUAGCUAAAGGUUUUGACGGACCCCUUGUUCAUAGAAUCAUGCGGUUGGUCUCGGGAGGCCACACUGCCAUCAAUGUUAAUGGUCAGGUUAGCAAGUUCUUUGCCAAUGGUAGGGGCCUACGGCAAGGUGACCCUGCCUCGCUCAUUUUGUUCAACUUUGUUGUGGAUGCCUUAUCCCGCUUGCUAUCUAGGGCAGCUACCUAUGGGCACAUCUCUUCGGUUAGCUCUAAUCUUCUUCCCCAAGGUCUGACCCACCUCCAAUACGCGGACAACACUAUUAUUAUGGUUGAGCUGAACGAUGCCUGCCUUGCACACCUCAAGUUUAUCUUACUUUGCUUUGAGGCGAUGUCGGGCCUUAAGAUUAAUUUUGCCAAGAGUGAAGAGAUUUUUACUGGUGUGGACGAAUCAGAAGCUGUGCGUGUGGCACAUCUUCUCAGUUGUAAGUUGGGGUCCUUUCCGUUCAAAUACUUGGGCUUGCCUAUAUCCCCGGACGUGUUUCAUGCCAAAGAUUUUGCCCCGGUGGUCACAAAGGUGGGAAACAGGGUUCUUCCUUGGCGGGGUAGAUAUAAUACUCACUACUAGGAAAAGGCCUACUAAUGGCGCACCUAAUUUGGCCAUUAAUGGCGCAUUAGUGGUGCGCCAUUAGUAUAUUUUACUAAUGGCGCACCACAGGUGCGCCAUUAGUAUCUGGUAUACUAAUGGCGCACCUCAGAUGCGCCAUUAGUAUAUACAACAGUGCACCAUUAGUAUGCCUCCCAGGGGGCCAUGUAUACUAAUGGAGCACAACAACAAGAUGCGCCAUUAGUAACUUCGUCAUACUAAUGGCGCACUGUUUAAUGAUGCGCCAUUAGUAUACUUUGGCAUACUAAUGGCGCACUGUGAUGUGAUGCGUCAUUAGUAUGAAUAUUAGGUUUUUUUUAUUUUUUUAAUUUUUCUGUUUUUUGCACAGUUACAAAAUGUAUAAUUGGACAAAAUAUAGACAACACACAUCAACAACAGAUUCAUCGAAUACAAUAGAAGAUUAGUCUCUGAAUACAAUUCAUCAUAUUAGUCUCCGAAUACAAUUCAUCAUAUUAGUCUCCGAAUUGAAAAGACCGAACAAAGAUAGAACAUUAUAUUACAAGUCUCGAGACCGCGAGUAGCGAGUUUGUCUUCACAUUACAAGUCGAUAUCGAUCAUCUAAACUACCAUCACAUAGAAGAGAGCUGCGGUCAUCACGAUGAGCAUCAUCACGAUGAAACUCGUCUUCAUCCGGUUCCUCCAGCGCUCCCUCCCCUCUCCCGCUAGAUAGCGGGCGUAUCUAGAUUCGGCCUCGGCCCUAGUGGUGUACCCUUUGUAACUGUUACCGCUGAAUCGGUGAACCUGUCUCCGACACUCCUCCCAGUCGUCGUAGACUCCGGGAACCUUACCCUUGUACACGACAUACGACGGCAUCGCUAUGCAGUAGCCAAACGAAACGUUAGUACCAAUUCACAGACAAUACAUAAGCAAUAUAUAAGUAUGCAACAGAACGAUUGGAAGAGAAAAGCAAGACAUUAAUAGCAUCGAUUACAUCUAAGUUGAACGACUCUCGAAACCAAAGAGACAUACUACAAGUUUAUUAAAGUUUAAUUACAACAUGAGCCGAAUCGAUGUUUCAGAACUAGACACAGCAUCACUGCUUUCGACUCGACUCAAGGGACCGGAGCAUGGAUGAAGCCGCCGUCUAUCGUGGGAGUCAUGAAAUAACGGUCGUUGUCAGCCUGCAUUUGUAGCAUUGUGUCGAUGUCACUGUUGGACGGUUGAUUUCUGAGGUAGAACUGCCCCGAGGUACGAAGGACAUCUUGAUGGAUGAUUUCCGCAAACUCCGACUGGAUGCGAAAGAAUUCUUGUCUGAUGUCCGCGUCCUGGAUUGCCGACACGCUCGCGGCCCAAUCUUUGAGUUUACUCGGUAGCAGAAGUUGAUGAUGGUCCCGUACGAUCGCCCGCAUGUGAUGGAUGGCGUAGUAGGCACCCUUCUGACCGCCAGGCGGCUGCUUGACGCAGCAGAACAUCGUAUUGUGGGAGAACACGUGCUUGACGUACUUACGAAUAGGCCUGGUGAAGGUGCCUCCAGAUUUGACGUAGUCGGGGAGAACAUCAUCAAGAACCUUCUUGACAUUUGUGUAGUCUACGUUCGACUGACGGUCCGGGUCGAAAUACAUGGCCAUGGAAUAUUUGCGGCUUAGGAGGAUGAGCGUGCAAUGUGUGUCACUGCAGAAAACACGGAAUGUUAAAAGAAAAACGAUCGAAAUCUAAGAAUUCAUAUGUUACGGGGCAGUUGAGGGGAGGACUUACUCGGGAAAGUAAGGCACGAGGAAGUUAUCUUUAUCUUGGUUUGCCAGAAUGACGCCUUCGAGGUAAGAAGUCGCGACUUGCCGGUCCCCAGCGCUGCCCAAGAUCUUGGCACGCAUGUAGAAGGGGUCGACUAUCAUGAUGUCCGGGGUCUUGUCGCGAAUGAUCCGCAUCUCCAUACUCAGCGAAAAUAGCCGAAGGAAGGUGUAGUGCAGCGGAUGAAGGUUCAACAUAGCGUGGAUGUCAUCAAACCGCAGGACGAUCGUACCCCCGAUGGAGUUAUCCACAAAGCCCUUGCCCUCUGGCACCUUGGCCGCGAAAACCGGGUAUGCCACAUCCUUCUCUCCGAGACGCCGCUUCUCCAAAGAAAGAACACUGUCAUGCAGACUCCGCAUAGCACCGGUUGCAGCAUCGAGCAUAUUUCUCGGUAGCAUCGGCCUACCCGCCACAUGCACCCUCCUCGAGAUAUCCUCAGGUGAAGGUGGCCCGUCCUGAGCAUGGAUCGUACUCGGUGCCGGCUGGCCCGCACCCUUGUUAGUCUUUCUUUUGCGUGCCUUCUUCUUCUCCUGUAAUGGGACCGAGUUCUGCUCACAGACCGCCUUCUUGAGUAUGUUGGGGCUGAUCAUAUUUCGCACCUCGCCUAUCUGAGGCUCGGUGAAGUCGGCAGCUGGAGGCGUCUCCUGAGAGCUGAACUGCAGACGAUGCCUGUUGCAACUUGGCUUCUCCGCGGUACCAGCUAGAUCGCGCACGUCUUUUGUUGGGUUGGGUUCUUGAGAAGGAGGCCCCAUGAAGUCGCCACCCUACCCAUGAUCGGCAAAGUAUUGAUCGACGUUGGCAAAUGUAUCGUCGUCGUCGUCGUUCUGAUCCUGUGCCAUAUGCAUGUUUGGAUCCAGUGGCAUAGGGAUGUCCGGCACCGUUGCGGCGGUCUUGACAUGGGGCCGACUUGGCGCUGGCACGACUGGCGGUGUUGUCUUUGGGGUGGUGUCCCCCGCCCCCAAACGAAUCUGGCUCUUCGGCCAAAGCAGGGGCCAGCUCAGGCAGGCGCUGAGGGUCAUCACGUCAUCAUCGUCGGCCCUGACGGGUCGAAUCGGAGGUAACAACUCGUCGCAGCCUGGCACCACCCGAACCAGUUGAACCCUAAACAAGUUGGGUGGCAUCUGGGUACCGUGGAACAAGGGGUUGCCCGGUUGAACGAUUUUUCCCUUGGCGACAUCGACCAACUCGUUGUUCACGAAGUGCAGGAGAGUGCACGAAACGUCGGCGGCGCCCUGCGAAAACAUGUAGGGCGUCAGGGAUGCCCAGUCAAAGGCAAGGAGAUGAAGUCCUCGGCCGAGAGAGGCUUAAUUAGUUACCGUGAUGAUGGCGUCGAGCUCGGCUAAUGUCGAGGCACCGCCAACGGCGGGCGUGCAGUUGACGGAGGGGCCGCUUGCUGCAGAGGUGCCGGCCGGCGUACACCCGGGUGCAUUAAGCUCCCAUGCCGGCGUUGGAGACACCAAUGGCCCCGGCAUCGCAUUCUGCGAGUUGCUGGCUCUGAAGCUAGGAAUCGGGGGCGGCCCCUGUUGGCCGCCCGCAAUCCACGCACUAAUCCCCUGGAUCAAGGUAGGCACAAUGGCGGUGAUCGUCCUUGCGAGUUGUUGUUCCACUUGCUCCUGGACAAUCUCCGGAAUCCGCGCCACCUGUGCCCUGAGUUCUUGAACCUCGCGGGCCUGGCUUUCCGAGCUGGUCUUUUUCUGCUUUCACCCACCAGUGUUAUAGUAUGACGACCAUUUUGUCGACAAGCCUUUGCCGGCCACACGACCAGCUGACGUCGGCUUACUGAGCUUAUCCUUGUUCUUCAUUACAUUCAACGCCCUAUUUAGAGUGGUGUCCCAAGGGUUGCUCUUAGUCGACCCCGCGCUACUGCUUUCAGUCGCCUGCGGAAGGAAUGUGAACCAUUUAGAAAUUUGGCUUCAUUAAUUAGAAUGCAACCAUAUGGAGCUAAUUACACGGGGGUGUAUUCCUUACCAGAACAAGCUCAAGCGACCUGGUCUUCGGAUCCGUGGUAAGCUCCUUUGUUUUUGGGUCCUUCUUGUACCGGGCCCUGACAAAGUUCCUGGUCUACUUGUCACCGUAUUUAUUGAAGAGGGGCGGUAGGCCUUGCUCGGCACGGUCCGCCUCCUCCUUGUCCCAUAUAGGCUCCGCCACUCUGUAACCGCCGGGACCGAGUGUGUGUUCCCCUAAGUUCAGCUCCCGCAUUUCUUUCCCCCAGUUACUUGAUUCGGAGUUUGCGGUGCUCGAGCAAUUGAUCUUGAAGUCGUUGUAGUCAUCUUCGGUGAUCGAAGGAUUUUUCUCCUUGAUCUUCUCAUAAUUCUCACCUUUCUCGAUCAUUCUCUUCACAUUGCUUUUCCAAGUAGACAGGGCCUUGCUCAUCUUCGUGAGGGCAGCAUUGUUCACUUUAUUCCCUUUGAGGCUUGUGUUUUCAAAUUCAGCGGGGAACUUGUAUCGUUCGUGCAGCUUCGUGAAGAGGAGGUUGCGCAAAUUCCCUCGGUCAGGAUGCCUCGGGUUCUCGGUGUUGAUCGAGACGGUGCUCCGGAGAAUGCACCCGAGCUGAAGCGAGUACCCCUUGACUAUUCGUUCGGGCGCCGUUGGAUUCCCGUCGGAGUCCACUUCAGUAACUUCCUCCUUGAGGGUGCGGAGCACGGUCGAGCGCCGGUCCUUCUAUUGCCUCUUCGGUUGGCUGCCAUCUGUGCAUGCGCCGCCAUCAUCAGUGGUGGCAUCCUCGGCGGCACCACCAGUGGUGGCAUCAGUGGGGUCAUCCUCGGCGGUACCAUUAGUGGUCUCAGGAUCGGUGGGGAAGGCGGCGUCCUCAUACAAGUGAGGUUGUUCCUCCAUCUCCCGGGACAGCUCCCAGAAUGCCUUGACGCCCGAACCCCCGGCCUCAUCGUUGUUGGCCAUGUUUCUCUCUAAAUAGGAACAAAGUUUGGUCAAAAAGUUGGUUAUUGUCAAGGAACAAGAUCAUGGUCUCAUCAUUUAGGGUUUGUCGACACCGAGGCAUCCUAAAAGCUAAGCUUUUAUCAUUGAGGGUUUUUCGACGCCGAGGCACCCUAAAAGCCUAAGCUUUCAUUAUUUCGGUUUUUAUCGACACCGAGGCACCCUAAAAGCCAUGCAUUAGUCACAAGUACGUUGGGGCACUUGAUCCUACUUAAUUAACUACUAAGAUACCCCGGCCCAUGCAUUAGUCACAAGUACCCCAUAUGUCCUAUUUUUAGCAAAGUCAUGCUAAAAUUCACGGAAAAUUUCAGCAUGACCUUUGCUGAAAAUAGGACAUAUGGAGUACCCGAAUUUGCCGGAACGGAAGUUAAUCGACAUUCCAGCAAACUCAAGGGCCUCUCGGGUGGACAAGGCAAAAAAGGCCUCCAUCACAACAUGGAAAAUACAUUCGCAUGUGAAGAGGUGAAACAAUAUAUGCAUCUCCAAGCAGUAUCAUUCAACAUUUUGGACAAACCACUACAAGCAAUACUGGACCAUUUCUCCCCCAAUGCAUCAUAGCAACAUUAUUUGGGUACCUAUAUGGUAUUAACAUGCCAUUCUCUGUCAACAGAAGUAGCACAAAAUCAUUCAAGUACCAGUGUUUAACUAAAACUUGGUGUGAAUAAGAUCCUCUGUCAGUACUUCAUACCAAUAAUCAAAACCCCAAAACCAGACCCCAACUAGUUACCAUAAGGUCAAAUACUGUCCACAAAACCAUAACAGAAAUAGCAAGUCAAAUUUACACAACUGGAGUAGUUCAAGAUAUUGAAUCUUGGUUUUAACCAAACAGUAUUUAUACUCCCCUUUCAUUUAAAUACACAGCAAAAUAUUCAUUUAAAUACACAGUACUGACAAAAUUCAUCUAAUUCUACUGGAGUAAAAAGGUUUCAUUUAACUUAAAAGAUUCAGAAAAGAGCAAGCAGGAGCACACUACUGCACAACUUAACUGAAUUUUUUACUCCAACAAUACCGAUACACUUGCUACUCCAGUACUGUACUUCAUGUGGAAAAGUAACAGUAGCUACUGAUGCUACUCCAAAACGCAUGCACUCCACUGCAAGCACAUAAUCUUUUAUUCAAGUAAUAGUGUAUGAUGAAUUUGAUUAUUCAGACUUAAGUUGCUUCAAGUGAUGUCACUAGUUUCAGUUAACUAGAGUACUAUAGCAAAUGGAGUACCUAAUCUGAUCCAGUUAAAGUCUCCAGAUGGAGUACCAAAUGGAGUACUACAGCUGCUGCACUUGCUACACCAAAACAGCUACUGAUCAAGUACCAGAGUACUCCAGUUGAUCAAGCAGCAGUAGAAAGACUGUAAGUGUUUAAAUUUAGUUGAUCAAGCAGACUCGUCAAAGUACUACUGCAAGUGUUUAAGUUCAGUCAAGUAUACUACUGCAGGUGUUUAAUUAAAAGAAAAGUGCUUCAUGAUUCUCUUUAUGUCAGGCUACAACGCCCAGUUGUGGAACAGGAAGAAAUACUGCAGUUUCUGAAUACAGAUUGUCUUUGUUCCAGUUAAUGGAUACUAUGCCUGUUGGCUCUACAAACUUACUUUUGAAGCACAAAACAGUGAAGGGGUCGAGGUCGUACCAAACUAAGGCGUCCGUCGGUGGUGGCUGGCCGGUGCUCCUCUCCUCUUGUAGCUGCAGCGGUAGGAGAAGAGCCCCUGCCCGCGGAGUGGAGGGGAUCUUCGCGCGGAUGGGGAUAGAGCUCGAGGCAGUCCACGGACGGCGGCGCCUGGUCGUCGCGGCGGAGGAGGGCCGGUGGUCGCGGGGACGAGGUGGUCGCGGGGACGAUGCGGUGUCGAUGGGGACGACCUAGUCGGGUGAAGCAGCGCGAGGGGAGGGGAAGUGGGGAGGUGCAGAGGUGUGGAGCGGGCGCGGGGGUCGUCGGAGCGGGCGCGGGGGAGCCGGAGCGGGUGUGGAGCGGGCGCGGGAGUCGGCGGCGGCGGUGGAGAGCGGUCACGGGGAGCGCGGGGAGGCUCGCGCUGNNNNNNNNNNNNNNNNNNNNNNNNNNNNNNNNNNNNNNNNNNNNNNNNNNNNNNNNNNNNNNNNNNNNNNNNNNNNNNNNNNNNNNNNNNNNNNNNNNNNNNNNNNNNNNNNNNNNNNNNNNNNNNNNNNNNNNNNNNNNNNNNNNNNGGGGGCGCGUGGGCGGCUGCGGCGCAGUGGGUCGGGGCAGCGGCGGCGGCGGCGCGGUGGAGGGAGGGACGAGGGAAGGAGCGGCGCGGUGGAUCGAGGGAGAGGGAACUGGCGAGGGGGAGAGGGAAGGGGGGAUCGGGCGAAGGGGUGCACAAUACUAAUGGCGCACCACCCCUAGGGGCGCCAUAAGUACAUCCAUACUAAUGGCGCACCUCACCGUGGUGCGCCAUUAGUAUUUUUUUUAUUUCUGCUCGAGCCAACAGGUUAUCUUCCACCUGACCUGAUCCACACCAAGUUCCCUCUACUAGCUCGACUGGUCAGCAGCUAGUUCUCACGCCAGGAGGUCCUGGGUUCGAUUCCCAGGCUCCACAAAUUGUUUUUAUGCAUUUAAAAUGCUGUUUGAUACUUAUUUGUGUUUAAAUAUGUUCAAACUUGUUUAAAUCAUAACAGUAAUAUUUUUUUAUAAGACAGUAAUAAUUUUUUAAAAAAUAUCAUCAAACAGUANNNNNNNNNNNNNNNNNNNNNNNNNNNNNNNNNNNNNNNNNNNNNNNNNNNNNNNNNNNNNNNNNNNNNNNNNNNNNNNNNNNNNNNNNNNNNNNNNNNNNNNNNNNNNNNNNNNNNNNNNNNNNNNNNNNNNNNNNNNNNNNNNNNNNNNNNNNNNNNNNNNNNNNNNNNNNNNNNNNNNNNNNNNNNNNNNNNNNNNNNNNNNNNNNNNNNNNNNNNNNNNNNNNNNNNNNNNNNNNNNNNNNNNNNNNNNNNNNNNNNNNNNNNNNNNNNNNNNNNNNNNNNNNNNNNNNNNNNNNNNNNNNNNNNNNNNNNNNNNNNNNNNNNNNNNNNNNNNNNNNNNNNNNNNNNNNNNNNNNNNNNNNNNNNNNNNNNNNNNNNNNNNNNNNNNNNNNNNNNNNNNNNNNNNNNNNNNNNNUGGACCGGGGGGUGCUCGGCGGCGAGGGGGACCGGAUCUGGCGAGGUGGGAUAGCGAUCGAGAUGGAGGGGGAUCGAGAUCGAGUGUCCAUGAAAUUUAAAAAUAUUCAUGAUAGUUCAAAAAGUGCCCAUGAAAUACAAUCGAGAAAUGAAGGCUACAAUUUAAAUACAAUCGAUCUUAGCUAGCUAUCUGUUCACAAUCUUCUUGCCCUUCUUUUUCGCAAAUGGAGUUCUUCUGUGGAACGGACGUCCUUUAGGUAGGGUGGUCCUGCUUCUUCUUGUGGUGUAUGCUGCUACUUCAUCAUCGUCGUCAUGUUCGAUCCUCGGGUCGCCGUACUUGUCGAAGUCUUGCUCAUUGGCUACUCCAUCCAUUCCGAUGAUCUUCCUUUUGCCUCUCUUCACGACAACACGACUGGGCUUUGACGGGUCGGUAAUGAAGAAGCAUUGGUCCACUUGGGAAGCCAGUACCCAUGGCUCAUUUUUCGCGGUGACGUUUGCGUCCGCGGUCUUGGAUUUGGCUUCGGGUAUAACCAUGGUCGUGAAAUACCGGUCUUCUUUUAGGACGCUCUUGGCCCAUCUGACACGGAACAUCAGGACCUUCUCUCCAGCGUAGCUCAGCUCCCAGAUCUCCUCGAUCCUUCCGUAGUAUCUGUCCUUGUCGUUACCGGUGUAGGAUUCCAUCAUUACCCCGGAGUUCUGAUAACCAUCGCUCUUCAUGUCCUUGGCCUCGGUGUAGAAUGUGUAGUCGUUGAUAUCGUACGCCUCAUAGGUCAUCAGGUUGUGCUCGGCGCCCUGUGACAAGGCGAAUAUGAGUUGUUCUUCCGCGGAAGAAUCCUCAUGUAAAGGGUACGACAGAAGCUUCUGCUUGAACCAACGCGUGAAACAUGAGUUGUGCUCUUUGAGUAUAUCUCCGUCCGUCUUCUGUUAGCCUCGGUCAUUGUACGUCUUCUUAAUAAAGGUUUUGUGCUCUACCACCCAAGGAUCGACCACGUCUAUGUGUUGUAGCGCGACUAGGUUUGCUCUUUCAAAGUCGGCGAGUCGACUCUCGAAGUCGACAUGCAUUUCGCGGCGACCCUCACGGUGACCCCAUCCAGUGAGCCUGCCGAGGUGCCUGUUGACGGGCAAACCAACGGGGUUCUCGGUGCCUAAAUAAUUCGUGCAGUAGGAGAUGCACUCUUCGGUCAGAAAGCCCCUGGCUAUGCUUCCCUCUGGACGUGACAUGUUGCGAACGUAUCCUUUGAUGACACCAUUCAUCCUUUCGAACGGCAUCAUGUUGUGCAGGAAUGUCGGCCCGAGUUGGAUGAUAUCGUCCACGAUAUGGACUAGCAGAUGCACCAUAACGUCGAAGAAUGCGGGCGGGAAGUACAUCUCAAGCUCGCAUAGUAUCACCACGAUCUCUUCCUGUAGCCUUCUGAGUUGCCUCACGCCAACAGACUUCCGAGAGAUGACAUCGAAAAAGUUGCAUAGGCCAAAUAGGGUUUCACGGACGUGCACGUCCAUGAUCCCACUGAUUGCAACUAGAAGUAUCUGCGUCAUCAGCACGUGACAGUCGUGAGACUUCAUCCCGCUGAACUUCAGCUUCGCUGGGUCUAGGUAUCUGCUUAUCUUCCCCGCGUAACCGUAAGGAAGUUUUACUCCUACGAGGCAGGUGAAAAACUGCUCGAUCUCCUCCUGACUUAGAGUGAAGCACGCGGGAGGGUAGUCAUUUCCGGUCUUUUUGGCCUUUUUGCCUUUGCGACGACUUUCCGUGUCCUGCUUCGCCUCAUCAUCAUCAUCAUCAUCAUCAUCAUCAUCAUCAUAUAUAGCGUGAAGCUCCUGCCUGAUGCCCAUUGAUUUCAAGUCUGCCCUUGCUUUCGGCCCAUCUUUGGUCCUCUCUGGCAUGUUGAGCAGGGUACCAAGCAGACUCUCGCACACGUUCUUCGUGAUAUGCAUGACAUCAAGGCUGUGAGGCACACGGUGGAUCUUCCAGUACGGCAAAUCCCAGAAAACAGACCUCGUUUUCCAUACCUUCAGCAGCGGCUCUGGCGCCUUUCGCUUCUUUCCCGGCUCUGGUGCCUUUUGCUUCUUUCCCGGCAGUGGGCAGUCUUUCCAAUUUUUCAACAGCUCGUCUAUUUCCUCGCCGCUCCUCGUACGCGGGCGUCCUCGGGGUUCGGUUUCACCAUCGAACAGAUCCUUGCGUUUUCUCCACGGGUCAUCGUCGCGAAGCCACCUUCAAUGUCCCAUGAACACGGUUUUCGAAGACCCGGGAUCUCUAUCUAGCUGGCGAUACGUUGUGUCAUCCAUGCACCUGACGCAUCCAGAACAUCCGUGGACCACCUGCCCCGCGACAUAUCCGUAACUGAGAUAGUCGUGCACCGUCGUGAGCAGUGCGGCUCUCAUAGGGAAAUAUUCUUUCUCUGCGGCGUCCCACGUAUUGGCUGGCGUUUUCCACAGCGUGUCAAGCUCCUCUUUCAGCAGCCCCAGAUACAGAUUGAUGUCGUUCCCUGGUUGUUUCGGUCCUUCAAUUAGCAUACUCAUGUGAAUGUACUUCCUCUUCAUGCACAACCAGGGGGGAAGGUUGUACAUCCACACAAACACAGGCCAGGUGCUAUGUGUGCUUCUUUGGCUGCCAAACGGAUUGACUCCAUCUGUGCUCACGCCCAGCACGAUGUUCCUUGGAUCGUUCCCAAAUUCUGGGUCUUCGAAGUUCAACGCUUGCCACUGGCUCGCAUCCUUAGGGUGACUCAGCAUCUUGUCUUUUUUAUCUAUCUCCGGAUCAUUUGCGUCAUCUUCUCGCUUCUUCUCCUCCCUAUCCGCGUGCCAACGCAGGAGCUUUGCUACCUUAGGGUCCGCGAAAUACCGCUGCAGACGAGGAGUGAUCGGAAAGUACCACACCACUUUUUGAGGAGCUUUCUUCCUCUUCUUGUAUCGAGUGACGCCGCACACCGAACAUAUGGUAGACUCCGCGUGCUCGUCCCGAUAAAUGAUGCAAUUGUUCAUGCACACAUGGUAUUUCACGUGCGGUAAAUCCAGAGGACACACGAUUUUCUUCGCCUCCUCCAAACUGGUCGGGCACUUGUUCCCCUUGGGAAGACACUCGUGCCAGAAUGACAUGUUCUCGUCGAAGCAUGCGUCGGUCAUUUUGUGUUUUACCUUCAUCUCCAGAGCCAUGAGCGUUACUUUCAGGCGGCUAUCCUCGGGCCUGCAUCCUUCAUACAAUGGAGUAACCGCGUCUAACUCAAGUUGAUCCAUCUUGGCUUUCUCUCGGGCGGCAGCUCUUGCGUUAUCCGUCUGCUUGAGAAGCAGCUCUUGAAUAUGAGGGUCCUGCACCCAGCCCAUCGAUGGUCCAGCGUCGUCUGCUCCGCCGGCAUCAUCAUCUUCAUGAUCAUGCCCGUCGUCUGCUCCGGCAUCUUCCUCAUCAUCAUGUCCUGCAUCUUCUGGAUGACUGUGUACAGCAUCACCGUCAUGAUCAUCUCCUGGGGAUUCUUCGUCUUCUUGCCCGCCCGAGCCGCGGUGGUUGUCUUGCUGCCCUUCCUCAUUUCUUGCCCGGCCCCCAUGGACGACUUCGUAGUCAUCUUCAUCACCUUGCCACCGAUAGCCAUCCAUGAAACCACGCAAGAGCAGGUGGUCCCGCACCUGCCCGGAUUUCGGGUCCGCAAUAAGGCUCUUCAGCUUGCAUCUUCGACACGGACAUCUUAUCUCCGUCUCGUUCUUUUGAAGCAUCUCGGCCUUCGUGGACCUCAAAAACCUAUUCACGAUGCCUUCGGUCAUCGUGUGGACCAUGGUCGCCUGCGGGGUAGAGCAAAACGAUAUUUUGGCAUGACUUUCCCUAAAAAUAGGACCAAAAAGAAUGCUUAAUGCCAAAAUUCUCGCCGAAACGGAAAUGAAUCAACAUUCCGGCAAAAAAUUGGCAACUAUCGCAUUUUAAAUACCGGUACACCUCCAAACACAAACACAUAUGCAACACCACAAACAUAUGCAACACCACGAACAUACAUAGAUCUAGCUAGGCCAUAAAAAGUGCAUGUGCACAUUGUUGUAGGGAGAACAACAUAAAUAUAGCUUCCUCCCUUACUUACCUAUUAAAACAAGGUAAUUUAACCACUUAAAUUGAAUGAAUCUAUGGUGGAAAUGAGGUGAAAAAGAGGAGGCACCCAAGACAAGGAGGAGGUGGAGAGAAUGAAGUGGGGAGAAAGUGAGUGUGGGUAGGAGAGGCUGUCCAAAAUAUCUUGUUGCUGCCCACUUACUAAUGGCGCACCAAAUCUAAAUGCGCCAUUAGUAAUCCAGGUUACUAAUGGCGCACCUUCUGGUGGUGCGCCAUUAGUAGUUUUGCAAAAAAAAAACAUACUAAUGGCGCACUGUUCCACAGUGCGCCAUUACUAGUUUAAACUAGUAAUGGCGCACGGUCGAACAGUGCGCCAUUAGUAGUUUUGCAAAAAAAAGGAAUAAAAAAUAUAAUAAAAAAAACAACAUUAGUGGCGCACUUUCCGACAGGUGCGCCAUUACUAGUUACAACUAGUAAUGGCGCACUGUGUCUGGAUGCGCCAUUAGUAUGUUUGGACAGGCGCACUAGUUCAAAAAAAAUUUGGAUACUAAUGGCGCACCCUGGGCUAGGUGCGCCAUUAGUAGUUUCAGCUCUAAUGGCGUAUCAGAAGGUGGUGCGCCAUUAGUAUAUACUAAUGGCGCACCGCUUGUCUGGUGCGCCAUUAGUGUCAAUCCCAUCUAUAGCCCUUUUUCUAGUAGUGACUAAUGCGGGUAAAGUGGCUUUAAUUAAUGCUUGUCUUUCCUCCCUCCCCAUGUUCUUGAUGGGAUUCUAUCUCUUGUUGGCUUGGAUUCAUGCAGGUUUUGAUAAACACCGUGGGGCUUUCUAUUGGAACACGACGGACAAUCGCCGCAAAUACCGCUUUGUUAAGUGGAACUUGAUGUGCAGGCCCAAAAACCUUGGGGGGAGGGGUAGGGAUCCUUAAUACUUCCAUCAUGAACCAAUGCUUGAUGAUCAAAUGGUGGUGGAAGAUUAUGAGUGCUGAGGAUCAGCCCCUCUGGCUGUCGAUUCUUCAGGCUAAAUAUUUCCCGUCCUCCAGCCCGAUGUUUGCUCAGUCGCGUGAUGGCUCUCAGUUUUGGAAGUCCUUGGUCAAAGUUAGACAUGUGUUCCAAUCUUUUGUUAAGUUUGUUGUUGGGAGUGGCUCCUCGAUUAGGUUUUGGCUUGAUUGGUGGUGCGGAGACUCACCCCUCUCGGUGUCCUUCCCCACCCUUUUCUCUUAUUGUUCUGAUCCUAGCAUUUCUAUUGCGGAGUUGGCUGCCCAGGGGUGGAACUUGGUCUUCCGCCGCUCCCUGUCGCCUGUAGAGUUUGAAGAAUAGCAACGUCUUACUGCCUUCUCCCCAUCGCUCUCGACGAAUAGGGAUUCGGUAGUCUGGCCGUUGUCUGCCUUUGGGCGCUUCUCUGUUAAGUCGCUUUAUUCUAGGCUUGUUGGUGGCACGCCCACUAAUCGGUUUUCCCAGAUCCGGAAGGCCCGUAUUCCUCCCAAAAUCAAGAUUUUCUUGUGGCAAGCUUUCAGAGGCCGGUUGCCCUCGGCUGAUCAAAUUCGUAAGAGAAAUGGGCCGGGCUCCCAGUUCUGUGCUUUGUGCGGUGCUGCGGAGGACACGGACCAUACUUUUUUCCAUUGUGCCCUGGCAAAACUCAUUUGGAGCUGCGUUAGGGAGUGGCUUCUUGUCUCUUGGGCCCCUGGCUCCUUCUCUGAGUUGCGCAGCUUGGCUGACAAUCUUUCGGGUGUAUCUAGACAUAUCUUUUGGGUGGGCCUAGGUUCUUUUUGCUGGUCCCUUUGGACGACUAGGAACAAAUUUACUAUUGAACGUGUGUUUCUGGCUAAACCUGCUAACUGCUUGUUUAAAUCAUGUGCUUUCAUGCAGCAGUGGAAAUCAUUGACUAAGGUCAACGACCAACAGGCGCUCUCUCUGCUGAUCUCCAAAGUCCGGGCUACGGCAUCCCAGUUAUGCAGACAGGAGCGGGAUGUUUAAGUGCUUCUUUUGGUUCGGGUGCUUUACCUUCAGUUGGUCAUUCUCUUUCGGCCUGCGUGCCGUGUACUGGCGAGGGUGCCAUGUACCUGACUGUCUUUUCUUCCGUCUCGCCCGUCGUUGGGGCCUGGGUGUUGUUUGGUACUUCUCUGUGAUGUGGUUGUUACUUGCCGUAUGGCUUUAUUUAUAAAGUCGGGCGUAUGACUUUUCUCUAAAAAAAAUAACUCCAAUACUAAGGUACUCUCUAAAGUCAAAUAAUUGGACAUCAUAUCACACGCGGCAAUUGCAGAGGCCGGGGCCUGACCCCUUUUCAAAAAAGAAAAAAACUUGCAGCAGCAAUGCACUAAGCCAGAACAAGGUAAUUGAUGAAAUCUUCCGUGUUAGGAGCCAAAGUUUUCAUGCCGAGUUUUCAUGCCAUCACGUGUGGCCAUUUCAUCGUCCUCAAACUGAUACGCCGGGGCGCAGGUCACUCCAACGAAAGAAUAGUGCAGGUCAGGGUCCCGUCCGGAUGUCUUGACAAAAACACGGCCAUCAUCAGUGAAGUAUUCGAUGUCUUGGGUCAGGAAGGUGCCAAACCACACAUUCGGAGGGACCGUCUACUGUGGUCUCUGCCCUUUCGGUAGAUCGAGACAGACUACUGUCAUCUUGACUUCCUCAUCAUCGUCCACCUCAAAUACAUGAAAUGGGUAUUAUUGGAUAGAUGGACAGUAUGCUUACAGAAUGCCCCGAGCGCAACGGCGUCCUCGGGGUCUGCUCUCUUGAGGUGCAAAAUCGCGGCCUCCUCCUCAAGCUCCUCCAUCGGCUACACCAACUGCAACAAUCUGCUUGGGCGGUUUGGUUCUGGCGGGAGUUUCAGGGGUGCGAGGACAAACGUGCACUUCUUACGGCUGUCUGGCACCCUGUCUCACAGCUGAGCCCCCCUGUACAGUACAGGGACGUCACCACGGUGGAGCUUGGGGACGGCAGAAAAACCUCCUUCUGGUCGGACUCCUGGAGCAGCGGUGGAUGGACCGCUUCGGCUCAAGUUCCCAACACUCUACUCCCAUGCCACUGAUUUUUUCGCCUCCGUCAGCAAGUUCCUAUCUUCCGAGCUUCGUUCCUGCUUUGCACCCAGGCUAUCGUCGGUGGCCGAAGAAGAGUUCAAAUGCCUCGCGGCAGCCAUCCCCCAGCAGCCGUUUCCUGGCGCUGAAGACUGCCGGGUGCUGAGAUCCAGCAUUGACAGGCAGCAAAGCCUUCACAUCCUCUGUUUACAAGCUGAUCACCUACUCUGGGUGUGACGGCGUGGCGUUCCGGCUGAUGCGCCCGAACUUGCGGUGCCUCAACGCUGUUGUGACCUCAAAACUUGGGCCUUCCAUUCAAAACCUGAUGCUAGGGCCUCGAUCCUGUCCUGGGUGCCGUUCCCGUUCAUACAUGCUCUGUGCGUCUAGCUUAUGGAGCUGCCUCUGAACCUCUCUACCCUGUCUCUGUACCUCCUCAUUUUGUGUAGUUCAGCUUCAACUUGUUUGCCCAGUUGCAUACAUGGUGCUUGAAAAAGUAUUUAUGGAUAGGUUCAAGAUAAGGCUUACAACCAUAGGUUUGAGUGUCUCUCCUAUUCAGUCUGUUUGUUGUAACAUCUGAAAGUUAAGGGUGAUGGCUCAUGUGAUCUGAGAGAUAAUUCAAUGUCUCUUUGUUCUGACAGUGGGGCUCAUAGGCACAAGGAUGACAAAUCCUUUGAAUGUUUAUGUGUCUUGUCAUAGCCCCAAACUCACAAGUUAAAGCAAAAUUAUACCACAAAAUUGGCUAAGCAAAGUUGUAUGACAACACACGACCAUAAAUAAUUUAAUGUUUUAGGCUGAUGUCACCAAGUCAUAGGUUUUGAUGGUACUCCCUCCGUUUCUUUUUACUCCACGUAUAAGAAUUCUCCAAAGUCAAACUUCAUAAAGUUUGAACAAAUUUAUAUUAAAAAGUAUCAACACCUACAAUAUUAAAGUUAUACAAUAUGAAAAUUAAUUCCAUGAUGCAUCUAAUGAUAUUGAUUUCAUAUUGUGAAUGUUGAUUUUUUUUCUAACAACAUGGUCAAACUUUUACAAAGUUUGACUUCGAACAAAUCUUAUAUGCUAAGUAAAAAGAAACAUAGGGAGUAUAUGUUGGAGACAACAAACAUUUUGGUUUGGUUAUGACAUGCAUAAUUUACUUCGCCAGCAAAAAUGCAGAAGUAUAAAAGAUAUAGAAACCUCUCAACAUAAUUUUAUUGAUUAAUGCUCAUAAACCAGCAGAUCCGCGUGCAAGCUUCAGAAAAACAAGCACUAACUGAUGGAUACUUACAAGAAAAAAAACUAAUGGAUUAAAAAUAUUUGUUGGAGAUCCUAGAGAGAAGAUUUUCAUUUUACAAACCUGUCAUUUGUGACUUACCAUUGAUGAGAAUUCCUAAAUGCUCCACAUGCGCGGGCACCCACGGUUAGCAGGCAUCACCACAAGCAGUCACAAAUCGACAGGGUGCCACCUACGGCUAGCAACGUCUGUGCCGUCUUGCAAGUCUGCAAGUAUUCGAGGAGGAGUGUCAGAGCACACGAGGCAAUACUAGGCAAUAGCUACAAAGUGCAUUAAUCGGUGCUUUGAUUUUUUGGUUCACUAGUUAUAACAUCAUGGAACGCGAUCAAGAAUUGUUGAUGAAAUUAGACGGCCUUGGGGCCAGUCUUGUAACUUUUGCCUGAGUUAGUGAUUGGUGCCAUUCCGACAAGUCAGGCUAAAAAGCAAACAAAUCUGGAGGCUCUACUUUAAAACAGACUGAUCGCAAAUUUGUUGCCCUGCUGUAAGGCUGAAUGAUUAAAUCCAUCAAGCCAUGUUGCAUUUUGUCUGGCAGCCCCCCUCUCUCAUGCCUCUUCCCCCCAUACUUACUGAACCAGAAGCAAUGCGAGUGCUGGUACAUUAAAGAUGGCAUGAUAAUGUGGUGCGUAGCCCAACUACAGCAUGUUGGUCUAAUGGCAUGUACAAAGAUAUAGACGAAGGAUCUGAGUGCUGGUACAUAAAAAAUGACUGCGCCGUCCGGCCCGGGGGAUGAGGCUCGGAGCUAAGCACGACUGAGUGGAUGUUGCAAUUCGAGUUAUUCAUCAAAAAUUCCCGGUGCCUUCUAUGCCCAUGUCUAUCAAAUUCAAAUGCCUUUAGCAAAGAGGCAUGACAAAUAUUGCACGAAAUGGAAUUCUAAGGCAGAAGUAAACUGAGGAACGAGUUAUUCCUUAGGGAAGACUUGCUCCUUAUAAAAGAGUUAUGCGGUAGACAGUGGUAUGAAAUUAUUGGUCCUCUGGUAGGUCAAUAGCUAUGAAUCCUUUGGUUACGAGCUUGCUCCUUUGGUAGGUUAUAAGCCACUAUAAGAGCUUUAUCGAUGUUUUAAACAAAUUUUUCUUACCCUUUUCAACCUAUACAUCUAGACGAUGUACCUACCAAAAAAAACAAUGUAUUAUUACAAAGUUCAUGAAAAAUAAAGACUAACAACUAGCAUUCCAUCACCAAAGAGAAAACACAGGCUAAGUAGAACCAACAUCGCUUAACAACUUAUCAUGCAGCGAUCAAAUGAACGCUAAAUUGGGAGUCACGUGAAUGAUUCCAUUCAAAUUUUGGUAGUUUAUCCUUAUGUCUGUUGUUAUGAGCGUCACUAGUUCAUGCACUUCUCAUUAUUGAUAAGAACGACACCCACCAGGCAUAAACAGAACGACAGAAACACAUAUCACCAGUGGAUGGUAUUUAUUCAUGAAAAAAGAGCAAACCUUACUGAACUUGCAUACUUGAUUACAUGAGUAUCAACUUCCAUACUGAACUACUCUCUAAAGUCAAAUAAUUGAAACCCAUACACAUUAGUUUUCAAUAACUAGCAGAUAGAAGAUGUUCACCACAAACAACAACCUACUUGCAGCAGCAAUGCACUAAGCUGGAACAAGGUAAUUGAUGAAAGCUUCCGCGUUAGGAGCCAAAGCUUUCAUGCCAUCGCGUGUGGCCAUUUCAUCGUCCUCGAAUUGGUAUGCCGGGGCACAGGUCACUCCAACGAAAGAAUAGUGCAGGUCAGGGUCCCGUCCAGGUGUCUUGACAAAAACACUGCCGUCAUCAGUGAAGGACUCAAUGUCGUGGGUCAGGAAGGCGCCAAACCACACAUACGGAGGGACCGUGUACUGCGGUCUCUGCCCUUUCCGUAGAUCGGGACCGACUACUGUCAUCUUGACUUGCCCAUCAUCAUGCACCUCAAAUACCUGAAAUGGGUAUUAUAUUGGAUAAGAUGGGCAGCAUACUUAGAAAAUGAUCAGCAACUUUGUUUUGCGCUAAGUUUGCAGACCGUGAGGGGCUCCCCCAUGUAGUAGUGCCAUGCCUCAGCGCAAGGGAUGCGGUGCAGCCGAGCGAUCUCCCCAGCAGGCAGCAGGAAAUAGAUUGCACUACUCACAGCACGGUCCACCUUAUCUAGAAGAAUUAAACACGAAGUAACAAAUUAGGAAAGACCUAUUGCUUAACAGAAGUUAUUCUUCAGAAACCUCAGCACAUCCAACUGAUCAACUUAUGAGUUUCCUUGUUACCAACUUUAGAAACUAACACAUAUCAGAAACGACUAGACAUUGCACUUAUAUUAGCCAAUUACGGAAGUUUUGAGUGCAUGGUGCUUGUAAAAAGUAUUUAAGGAUACGCAGCAGAUAAGGCUUACUACCAUAGGUACGAGUGUCUCAGUUAUUCAGUUUGUUUGAUAGUUUGUUUGUUCUAACAUCUGAAAGUUAAUGUAGUGAUGGCUCAGGUGAGCUAACAGAUUGUCUCGUUAUUCUGACAAGAGGGCUCAUAGGCACAAGGAUGCAAAAUCCUUUGAAUGUUGAUGUGUGUUGUCAUAGCCCCAAACUGACAAGUCACAGCAGAAUUAUAGCACAAAUUUGGCUAAGCUGAGUUGUAUAACAAUAG